rnacentral:rRNA from 1 species
CAGUAGCCGCGGGAAAACGUAGGUGGCAAGCGUUGUCCAGAAUUAUUGGGCGUAAAGGGUGCGUAGGCGGUUUGAUAAGUUUGGUGUGAAAUCUCUGGGCUCAACCCAGAGUCUGCAUCGAAAACUGUCGGGCUUGAGUAUGGGAGAGGUGAGUGGAAUUUCCGGUGUAGCGGUGAAAUGCGUAGAUAUCGGAAGGAACACCUGUGGCGAAAGCGGCUCACUGGACCAUUACUGACGCUGAUGCACGAAAGCUAGGGGAGCAAACAGGAUUAGAUACCCCAGUAGUCCCUGUCUCUUAUAC